UUGAGUUGAGUCCUUUUGCUCUGUUCCCCUCUCUUAUAUUUAUAGGAAAUGCUGGAGUAAGGUUUCUAAUUCUUUUAAUAAUGGGCGGCAAUAAUUUCUUAAAAGAUCUUUCAUUAAAAAUGCAAAGAAAAGGGGAUUCUGGUAGAUAAGCUCUUAAUAGUUAGUUCCAAGGUCAAUCACUUCUCUAUAUUUCUUGAAAGAAAACCUAACCCUUCUUCCAAUCUAACUGCCCUCUACAAGAGCUCAAACUGUGAUGGUUAGUUUGAUUUUCCAGUUUGAACAACUCCCUGUUUCCUACUUAUCUUUUUUUGAGAAUAUAGUCUGUGUAUCCUUGAAAGAUGGUGCCUUUUUGGAGCAGAAGCAAUAUCUCUGAAUAUAUAAAGAGUCUUUGAUCAUCUGAUGGCAUAGAUUCAGAGAUGUCCCUUUUCUUUUACAUCUGCUUUUGUCAACUUUUUUUUUUUAUAGUCACGUGGGUCUGCCUCUGAUUUUUUGUUUUAUCUUUUUCCACUUGACCACGCCAAGCCCAAUUUGGGUUUCUUCGAAGUCCAAGUUAUCCUCGUGGUUUGGUAGGUCCCGGGCUGGGCUUCUUUGGAUUUGGGCCCUCGAUUAUAAUUUGAGUCCAUACUGCCUGGGUCUGAUUUUGCCUCGUCCUUCUGGGCCUCCAGUCUGUCGGGCUGAGUGUGUGUCUUGGCCCAAUUUUAAAAGAAUGCUGGUGGUUGCCCAAAAUUGACAUGGGCUUUUGUUUCCUUGUGUUGGGUGUGCCAAAUUAGACCCAAAAAAUGCCCCCUAAGUCUGAAUCGUUUUUGAACGGUUCCAGACUUAAAUGACUUGGCCAUUAAUUUGCGAGCCAGUUUCUUUCGUUAGCCCACGUCUGCCACGUCUGCCUACCACAAACUAGCCUUCGUGGGAAAAUGGCCAGUUACUAGCUAGUCAUCAUUAGGUGGCGUAUUAUCUUCUUCUUCCAUGAUUUCGAGUCUUUUUAAGAAAUUUCGAAACUCCAGUUCCUGUUCAUUCGAAAACCUAGCCCUUUCAGACUUUGGUUUUCUCAGUUUUCCCAAGAAUUUUCACUUUUCU
rnacentral:lncRNA from 1 species